GCCGCGACGCCCGCCAGCGCUUAGCCGGGAUGGGGUCCGGAGUCUCCCGGGAGCCGCCUCGCGCGUGCGCGACUCGGACCGAGGCGGCGCUGGAGAGUCCUGCGUUACCUCCCCCGGACUGGACGCCUCGUUACCGCCCCGCACACCUUUGUGGGCGUCCGGGCCCGGGGUUCAGGGUUUGGCAUUAACUGAGAUGGGACUGUUAGGCCGCCUGGCAGGUCUGGAUUAGCUGCAAAGGUUGGCCAGCAGCGUGGUUUCGGUUAGAACCCCGAUCAGGUGCCUCCGGUUCUCGAACUCAGUACAGGCUGCCCCUGGGGGCGUGGAGGAGCCAGGAUCAGGGAAGGCCUCUUCAUAGAUGUCAAAAACGGACCCCCUUACAAAAGGCGUCCACCACCUGCCUGGCGGAUCUCGUGGGAUAAGUGUGUGUAGCGUUUACACUCGAAUUUUCCGACGAGCCCUGAAUGCCACUUAGUUUUUUUUUUUUUUUUCUUGUCUUGGAAUUGGAAACUAACCCUCUCCAUCGUCCUCAGUCUCGAAUUCCAAAGAUCUUGUCUUUUUAUUCAGCAUAAAUAUGCGCAUUUGGGAAUGUAUAGGGAUAUGCCUUACCUCUUUUAUCCUUACGAGUUAAUUUCUGUUUUGUAGAUGCUGGGACCUAGGCCUGGUGUGCCCUCAGACAACUGAUCUACAUUCCCAGCACAAGCGACCCCAAGGGUGCCACCCCACCGCUGCCCUCAGAGGCAGACUGGAGGACAGAUCUUCCAAGCGCACGUGGUUCUAAAGUGAGAGGAAUGAAGCCACAUGGAGACCAUGAAGAAACUCAGAGAUCAGCAAGAGGAAAAAGUCACUGCAGCAUCGAAGCUGGAGGAAGACCUGGAGUUGCUGAGUAGAACAUAGAUGUUUAGGGGUCUAUUCAGUGGACUCAUGCAGGAGGAGGUGCAUUCAGGCAGAAGAGAGAAAAGUUUCCUGGCUUCUUUCUUGGUCUGGCUCUCAGUAUCCUGCUGGAGCCUCUCAGGGGCUUCAGCCAGCUGGGGUGCACCUUACUUCCAAGCUGGGAACUGUGCUGUGUAGGGAUCAGAUCCUCUACAAUCCACAUCACAACAGAGGAAGGUGAGAAACGGCUUCAGCAGGAAAGAGCAAAGGACAGAUGCAGUAAUGAUUGCUAAAAUAACAGUGGAAGGCCGCAUUUUGGCCUUCUGCGUUCCUAGGACCUAGAUAUCGUUCGGUGAGAGUAGCAUGUGUCCUGUCUCCUGAUUCAUUUCCUUAUCGCUCUUCAAUGUUUCUAUUCAUUACUAGCUUUUUAAAUCAUGUGCUGAUAACAAGAUUCCAUAUGUGAUGUUCCUAGUGAAGUUUACUCUUCUGUAAGCUUCAUGUCCACUAUCCCAGACAGCAGUAGCCACCUUUAUAUUUUGUUGUUUCACCCUCUAGCCACAGAAUACUAAAAGGGGGUAUAUGUCUAAUCCUACCUGGGGAAUCACAAUUGUCUCCUUAGAUCUGUGAAUCACAUGUACUGUAUAUGUUAUGUUGCCAAGUACUAAUUGCAGUAGGUUGGGAUAUGAAAACUUGGGGAAUAUGCUAUGACUGUUUUCUGGGAACUAGAAUGAAUGAGGAAAUAAUUUUAGCCUAGAAAGUACAAUGGAAUAAAUUUACAGGAAGAGGCAGAGAGGGAAUGAGAUUCAAGUAAGAGCCACCCAAAGCUAUACAGUUAAAGGUCCCAGCUCUUCAGAAGACCGACUUUCACUUUCUGCUCCUGAUCACGAGAAAUACUGUGUAAAUACUACACAGCCUACAUAAAUCCUCCCUCCUUUGUUUCAGUUGCCCCCAGAGGCUUUCCUGUCAUAUAAAAGUAAAAGGAUCCUUACCAAGAUAAUGUUUUCACAAACAAUUUAAAAAUUAAAUUAUGGGCCAGCAAGAUGGCUCAGUGGAUAAAGGCACUUUCCACCAAGACUGGCAACUUGAGUUCCACCCCUGGGACCCACCCAGAAGAAGGAGAGAAUCCACUCUUGCAAGUUGUCCUUUGACCUCCACUUGUAGUUAGUGGGACAUACACACCCACACACAUACACGCACAUAUAAAUAGAUGUCACAAAGGAUUUUAUUGCAGCUGAAUUGCACUCCCCCUUUCACAUUUCCCUUUUCCUCUAAGAUAGUGAGGACAGGUGUUUAAUGCUGAUCAUUUUCCAGAGACACACCCAUAGUGAAAUGAUUUUGCACUGAUGUUAGGUUGAGGAGAACAGCUAGCAUGGCUCCAGAUUCAACUUGACAUGUUGACCCAGUUCUUAUGCAAUGAUGGGAUGGAUACAGAUACACAUUAUAAUAUCUGACACACGUGAGAAGAAUGUUACCCUUUCACAAUUUCCUGUUUUAGGACAAGCCCCUACUACUGCCCAAGCACCAUAGACUUACCAUAUCUUAAGGGACUGUUGACACACCACUUUAAAUAUAUGGCCUUAUUCUGCUUUCGCCUCCACUCCUGAAUACCCAGUUUUGUGAUCACUGGAUAAACAGGUUGAAUCAUAACUGAACCUAUUGUCAUAUCUGUCCAAAGAUCUGCAUGUAUUUUAUGCACCUCAGAACACUAGCCUCUAGAGAUGUUUACAAGAUACCUGAGUCCUGUGUCUGUUGCUAUUUAUAUUAUAUUCCCUAGGAAAUACGUUAUCUCAUCAAGAACCCAAUAUAUUUACCAGUUCCUGCUUUGCAGGUCAUUUCGGCAUGAUGUUAUUUUAGCAAUGGACUAAGAUAAUGCCAAGAUGAUAGGUGCUCUAGGAGAGCUGACCUUUGCACUAAAAUGAACUGACCCGAGUCUUACUGUAACUUUCUGAUAAAUGCCCCUUUGCUUUAGUUAGCUUGGGUCAGUUUCCGCUGUUUUUAAGUUAACUGCAUAUACCAUUAUUGCUGUUUAUUUCCGGUGGUGAACUGAUUUAUAGUUACAUAAUAGCUACUCUUGGUUGUCAACUUACUACAUUUGCAAUUAAAUAAACCCAAGUGGCUGGAA